UACAGAGGGGGCAAGCGUUGUUCGGAAUUACUGGGCGUAAAGGGCGCGUAGGCGGCCUGCUAAGUCGAACGUGAAAUCCCCGAGCUCAACUCGGGAACUGCGUCCGAUACUGGCAGGCUUGAAUCCGGGAGAGGGAUGCGGAAUUCCAGGUGUAGCGGUGAAAUGCGUAGAUAUCUGGAGGAACACCGGUGGCGAAGGCGGCAUCCUGGACCGACACUGACGCUGAGGCGCGAAAGCCAGGGGAGCGAACGGG
rnacentral:rRNA from 1 species